GCUUGGGAACGCCUCAUCAAGGCUAUGGCUAGUUGUGCUGCUUGAAAGCCCACCUUCGGUGCUGCUAUUGGUAUAUGAUGUUACUGUUUGACCAGACAAGAAAAAUGGGGACUUCCGUGUUAGAUCACAGCAAUAGACACUAGAGGAAAGAAGGUGGAAGGGGACAAAGGAAAGAGUAGAUCGUCUUCUUAUUGGUUCUCACUCUCAGUCGCCGCUUCCCUGCAACGGUCGCUCUCUCUUGGUCGCCGCUUCCCUGCAAUGGUCGCUCUCUCUCGGUCACCGCUUCCCUGCAACGGUCUCUCUCUCGGUCACCACUUCCCUGCCUCUCUCUCGGUCGCAGGUCGGUCACCGCUUCCCUACAACUCUCUCGGUCGUCGCUUCCCUACAGCAGGUAUUGUCUCUCUCUCUCGCUCUCUCGCUCUCUCGCUCUCUCACAAUCUCGCUCGAACUACUUUUUCGAUUGAGUUUUGAUUGAUUGCAGAAAGUAUUUCCUUUCCCUGUUUUACUUUUUUGGAGAUUUCUGAAUCUAUAUAGAUAGUGGAUUUGUUUUUCUUUUUAUUCUUCCUUUUGCCCUUUUUAGAAAAAUUGAUUAUUCCUGAGUUUCUCUCUCUCUCUCUCUCUCUCUCUCUCUCUCUCUCUCUCUCUCUCUCUCUCUCUCUCUCUCGCUCUUUCUUCCUGCUAUCUUGUUCAACCCCAAAUAAAUAUAAAAAAAAAAAGGUGGGGACUUGCUUCUUUUUUUUUCUUUCUGGGUUUUCAGCCAUUGAUGCUCUGGUUUAUUGCUUGAAAAGAAGAUUAAUUUUUUCAUCUUUAUAUUCCAAGUAAUUAAUAAAGGUAAAAUCUUUGAGCAUUUCUUCUUUUCUUGAUAUGUGUUUCUUAUUUCACUCUCGUUUCUUGCUUGGAUUUUGGGACAUCUGUAAAUUGCAGUGAUUUGGGAGAUUUUCUUGCUCUAAUAUUGGGAUUUUUGUGAAGUCUGAAAAGGUGUUUGGUAAAUUUUUUAUUUCUGUCUGGUUAUGGUGAUCUCUGUUCUUGACUGCUCAAGUUUCGUAGUUGCUUACUUUGAUCGAUCGUGAUGGGUUUCUGAAAAAUACCCAUUUGAGCAUAUUUCAUCAUUCUCAUCUUAAGAUUCUUAUUUAUUUAUCUGUUAAAUUUUAUCAUCAGCAAAGAUUGUCCAUUUAUAUUUAUGUGGCAAGGAAGAAAAAUUUCAGUGCUUAAUGAGAUUGAUAUUUUGGAUGAAGGUUGGUUGUGUAAAUUUCAGUGCUUAAUGAAAUUGAUAUUUUGGAGCUGGAAGAGGGCUUUUAUUAGGAUUUGAGUAUUCUAUUUUGAUGGGCAGCUAGGAAGAUCAAUUUGAAGUUCUUGGGCUUGAUGUAAACAAAUUAUUUCCUUAUUUAAGUUAAAUUUGACCAUAAUAGCAUGUUUGUAAUUAUUGAUUUCAUUGUUCAAAAGUGAAUUUUCAUUAUUGUACUC